GAUGAACGCUGGCGGCGUGCCUAAUACAUGCAAGUCGAGCGAACAGACGAGGAGCUUGCUCCUCUGACGUUAGCGGCGGACGGGUGAGUAACACGUGGAUAACCUACCUAUAAGACUGGGAUAACUUCGGGAAACCGGAGCUAAUACCGGAUAACAUGUUGAACCGCAUGGUUCAACAGUGAAAGACGGUCUUGCUGUCACUUAUAGAUGGAUCCGCGCCGCAUUAGCUAGUUGGUAAGGUAACGGCUUACCAAGGCAACGAUGCGUAGCCGACCUGAGAGGGUGAUCGGCCACACUGGAACUGAGACACGGUCCAGACUCCUACGGGAGGCAGCAGUAGGGAAUCUUCCGCAAUGGGCGAAAGCCUGACGGAGCAACGCCGCGUGAGUGAAGAAGGUCUUCGGAUCGUAAAACUCUGUUAUUAGGGAAGAACAAAUGUGUAAGUAACUAUGCACGUCUUAACGGUACCUAAUCAGAAAGCCACGGCUAACUACGUG
rnacentral:rRNA from 1 species